rnacentral:rRNA from 1 species
GUGAGGAAUAUUGGUCAAUGGGCGGGAGCCUGAACCAGCCAAGUCGCGUGAAGGAAGAAGGAUCUAUGGUUCGUAAACUUCUUUUGCAGGGGAAUAAAGUGCAGCACGUGUCCUGUUUUGUAUGUACCCUGAGAAUAAGGAUCGGCUAACUCCGUGCCAGCAGCCGCGGUAAUACGGAGGAUCCGAGCGUUAUCCGGAUUUAUUGGGUUUAAAGGGUGCGUAGGUGGUUUGAUAAGUCAGCGGUGAAAGUUUGCAGCUUAACUGUAAAAAUGCCGUUGAAACUGUCGGACUUGAGUGUAAAUGAGGUAGGCGGAAUGCGUGGUGUAGCGGUGAAAUGCAUAGAUAUCACGCAGAACUCCGAUUGCGAAGGCAGCUUACUAAGCUACAACUGACACUGAAGCACGAAAGCGUGGGGAUCAAACAGGAUUAGAAACCCGAGUAGUCC